rnacentral:rRNA from 1 species
GUCCACGCGGUAAACGAUGAGUGCUAGGUGUAGGAGGUAUCGACCCCUUCUGUGCCGCAGUAAACACAAUAAGCACUCCGCCUGGGGAGUACGGCCGCAAGGUUGAAACUCAAAGGAAUUGACGGGGCCCGCACAAGCAGCGGAGCAUGUGGUUUAAUUCGAAGCAACGCGAAGAACCUUACCAGGGCUUGACAUCCCGCUGACAGGUGUAGAGAUAUACCGUUCCUUCGGGACAGCGGAGACAGGUGGUGCAUGGUUGUCGU